GAUGAAUGCUGGCGGCGCGCCUAACACAUGCAAGUCGAGCGGAAAGGCCCUUCGGGGUACUCGAGCGGCGGACGGCUGAGUAACGCGUGGGAACAUGCCCCAAAGUGAGGAAUAACUGCCCGAAAGGGUAGCUAAUACCGUAUAUGAUCUUCGGAUUAAAGGAUCUAUCCGCUUUGGGAGUGGCCCGCGUACGAUUAGGUAGCUGGUGCGGUAAAGGCUCACCAAGCCUACGAUCGUUAACUGGUCUGAGAGGAUGAUCAGUCAGACUGGAACUGAGACACGGUCCAGACUCCUACGGGAGGCAGCAGUGAGAAAUCUUCCACAAUGGGCGAAAGCCUGAUGGAGCGACGCCGCGUGCAGGAUGAAGGCCUUCGGGUUGUAAACUGCUUUUAUAAGUGAAGAAUAUGACGGUAACUUAUGAAUAAGCACCGGCUAACUACGUGCCAGCCGCCGCAGUA
rnacentral:rRNA from 1 species